AUUGAACGCUGGCGGCAUGCCUUACACAUGCAAGUCGAACGGUAACGGGCCUUCGGGUGCCGACGAGUGGCGAACGGGUGAGUAAUACAUCGGAACGUGCCCGAUCGUGGGGGAUAACGAGGCGAAAGCUUUUCUAAUACCGCAUACGAUCUACGGAUGAAAGCAGGGGACCGCAAGGCCUUGCGCGGACGGAGCGGCCGAUGGCAGAUUAGGUCGUUGGGGGGAUAAAAGCUUACCAAGCCGACGAUCUGUAGCUGGUCUGAGAGGAUGAUCAGCCACACUUGGACUGAGACACGGCCCAGACUCCUACGGGAGGCAGCAGUGGGGAAUUUUGGACAAUGGGCGCAAGCCUGAUCCAGCCAUGCCGCGUGCAGGAUGAAGGCCUUCGGGUUGUAAACUGCUUUUGUACGGAACGAAAAGCCUUCUUUUAAUACAGGAGGGUCAUGACGGUACCGUAAGAAUAAGCACCGGCUAACUACGUG
rnacentral:rRNA from 1 species